UUUUAUAUUGGAGGGCAAGUCUGGUGCCAGCAGCCGCGGUAAUUCCAGCUCCAAUAGCGUAUAUUAAAGUUGUUGCGGUUAAAAAGCUCGUAGUUGGAUCUCAGCUCACGCUAAGUGGUCCACUUAAUGGUGGUUACUACUUAGCUGAGCAUUUUACAGAUUUGUCUCUUGAUGCUCUUCACCGAGUGUCAAGAGUGGUCUGUACGUUUACUUUGAAAAAAUUAGAGUGCUUAAAGCAGGCAACUCGCCCGAAUAAUCUUGCAUGGAAUAAUGGAAUAGGACCUUGGUUCUAUUUUGUUGGUCUCCGGAAUCUGAGGUAAUGAUUAAGAGGGACAGACGGGGGCAUUCGUAUUGCGCCGCUAGAGGUGAAAUUCUUGGACCGGCGCAAGACGAACUACAGCGAAAGCAUUUGCCAAGAAUGUUUUUUAAUCAAGAACGAAAGUUAGAGGUUCGAAGGCGAUCAGAUACCGCCCUAGUUCUAACCAUAAACGAUGCCAA
rnacentral:rRNA from 1 species